UGCAGUCGAGCGACAGAUGAGAAGCUUGCUUCUCUGAUGUUAGCGGCGGACGGGUGAGUAACACGUGGGUAACCUACCUAUAAGACUGGGAUAACUCCGGGAAACCGGGGCUAAUACCUGAUAAUAUUUUGAACCGCAUGGUUCGAUAGUGAAAGGCGGCUUCGGCUGUCACUUAUAGAUGGACCCGCGCCGUAUUAGCUAGUUGGUAAGGUAAUGGCUUACCAAGGCGACGAUACGUAGCCGACCUGAGAGGGUGAUCGGCCACACUGGAACUGAGACACGGUCCAGACUCCUACGGGAGGCAGCAGUAGGGAAUCUUCCGCAAUGGGCGAAAGCCUGACGGAGCAACGCCGCGUGAGUGAUGAAGGUUUUCGGAUCGUAAAACUCUGUUGUUAGGGAAGAACAAAUUUGUUAGUAACUGAACAAGUCUUGACGGUACCUAACCAGAAAGCCACGGCUAACUACGUGCCAGCAGCCGCGGUAAUACGUAGGUGGCAAGCGUUAUCCGGAAUUAUUGGGCGUAAAGCGCGCGUAGGCGGUUUCUUAAGUCUGAUGUGAAAGCCCACGGCUCAACCGUGGAGGGUCAUUGGAAACUGGGGAACUUGAGUGCAGAAGAGGAGAGUGGAAUUCCAUGUGUAGCGGUGAAAUGCGCAGAGAUAUGGAGGAACACCAGUGGCGAAGGCGGCUCUCUGGUCUGUAACUGACGCUGAUGUGCGAAAGCGUGGGGAUCAAACAGGAUUAGAUACCCUGGUAGUCCACGCCGUAACGAUGAGUGCUAAGUGUUA
rnacentral:rRNA from 1 species